CAGGAGUGUUAAUCCUAGUUCUGCUACAGCCUUACUGUGGGAGCUAUUGCUGCACUGCUAGCUCAGCCAGAGGUUUGCUAUGAUUGCCUGCUGUGUUCCGUAUCUGUGCUACUAUGAACAAAGGAGGUGUGAUGCUACCAACUAAAAGUGUCUGAGACAGCAGCUGUUACCUGUUCCUUAAUCAAAGGAAGUUUGAUCUUAACCACCUGUUACAAGAAUGAGAAGAACGCAUGUUUCCAAUUCUGUUGAGGGCUACAGAGGCACAGGGCAUCGGAGAGCAAGGUAAGACUGUACAAGAUAAUCUUCUACAUCUGGUGGCAUGCCC